CUCAGAUCGGACGAGAUUACCCGCUGAAUUUAAGCAUAUUACUAAGCGGAGGAAAAGAAACUAACAAGGAUUCCCUCAGUAACGGCGAGUGAAGCGGGAUGAGCCCAGCACCGAAUCCCCCGGCCUGUCGUCGGCGGGAAAUGUGGUGUAUGGGACGCCAACUGCCGUCCGUGCUGGUGUCCGAAGUCCUCCUGAUCGGGGCCUCUCCCAGAGUGGGUGUCAGGCCUUUACUGGUCACCGGCCGGUCGGCUGCGAGCGUCUCA
rnacentral:rRNA from 1 species